rnacentral:rRNA from 1 species
AACGAACGCUGGCGGCGCGCUUAACACAUGCAAGUCGAACGAGAAGCUGUAGCAAUACAGUUGUACAGUGGCGAACGGGUGAGGAAUACAUGGGUAACCUACCCUCGAGUGGGGAAUAACCAGCCGAAAGGCUGGCUAAUACCGCGUACGCUUCCCAAUCUGCGGGUUGGGAAGGAAAGCUCUACCGUGGGUAGAGCGCUCAAGGACGGGCUCAUGUCCUAUCAGCUUGUUGGAGGGUAACGGCCUACCAAGGCAACGACGGGUAGCCGGCCUGAGAGGGCGACCGGCCACACUGGGACUGAGACACGGCCCAGACUCCUACGGGAGGCAGCAGUGGGGAAUCUUGCGCAAUGGGCGAAAGCCUGACGCAGCGACGCCGCGUGAGGGAUGAC